CCUACGGGAGGCAGCAGUGAGGAAUAUUGGUCAAUGGCCGUAAGGCUGAACCAGCCAAGUCGCGUGAAGGAAGAAGGCCCUAUGGUUUGUAAACUUCUUUUAUAGGGGAAUAAAGGUAUCCACGUGUGGAUAUUUGCAUGUACCCUAUGAAUAAGCAUCGGCUAACUCCGUUCCAGCAGCCGCGGUAAUACGGAGGAUGCGAGCGUUAUCCGGAUUUAUUGGGGUUAAAGGGUGCGUAGGUUGUCUUUUAAGUCAGCGGUGAAAGUUUGGGGCUCAACCCUAAAAUUGCCGUUGAAACUGGAAGCCUUGAGUGUGUGUGAGGUAGGCGGAAUGCGUGGUGUAGCGGUGAAAUGCAUAGAUAUCACGCAGAACUCCGAUUGCGAAGGCAGCUUACU
rnacentral:rRNA from 1 species